rnacentral:rRNA from 1 species
CCUACGGGUGGCAGCAGUGAGGAAUAUUGGUCAAUGGACGAGAGUCUGAACCAGCCAAGUAGCGUGAAGGAUGACUGCCCUAUGGGUUGUAAACUUCUUUUAUAAAGGAAUAAAACGAGGCACGUGUGCCUUUUUGCAUGUACUUUAUGAAUAAGGAUCGGCUAACUCCGUGCCAGCAGCCGCGGUAAUACGGAGGAUCCGAGCGUUAUCCGGAUUUAUUGGGUUUAAAGGGAGCGUAGAUGGGUUGUUAAGUCAGUUGUGAAAGUUUGCGGCUCAACCGUAAAAUUGCAAUUGAUACUGGCAGUUGUGAGUACAGUUGAGGUAAGCGAAAGUCGUGGUGUAGGGGUGAAAUGCUUAGAAAUCACGAAGAACCCAGAUUGCGAAGGCAGCUUACUAACCUGUGACUGAAAUGGAUGCUCGAAAGUGUGGGUAUAAAACAGGAUAAGAUACCCGAGUAGUC